AUCCUUCAGUUUUCUUUCCCAUCAGAUGUGAACACGGUCUGAGUGGUAACAAAGGAGGAAAGGUCACAUUAAAACUGACUUCAGUGUGCUGUGGCACAUGAGCUAGCUUAAGAAGAUG
rnacentral:snoRNA from 1 species